rnacentral:rRNA from 1 species
AACGAACGCUGGCGGCAUGCCUAACACAUGCAAGUCGAACGAGACCUUCGGGUCUAGUGGCGCACGGGUGCGUAACGCGUGGGAACCUGCCCUUAGGUUCGGAAUAACUCCCCGAAAGGGGUGCUAAUACCGGAUAAUGUCUUCGGACCAAAGAUUUAUCGCCUUUGGAUGGGCCCGCGUUGGAUUAGCUAGUUGGUAGGGUAAAAGCCUACCAAGGCGACGAUCCAUAGCUGGUCUGAGAGGAUGAUCAGCCACACUGGGACUGCGAUACGGCCCAGACUCCUACGGGAGGCAGCAGUGGGGAAUAUUGGACAAUGGGCGAAAGCCUGAUCCAGCAAUGCCGCGUGAGUGAUGAAGGCCUUAGGGUUGUAAAGCUCUUUUACCCGGGAUGAUAAUGACAGUACCGGGAGAAUAAGCUCCGGCUAACUCCGUG